AAAUUGAAGAGUUUGAUCAUGGCUCAGAUUGAACGCUGGCGGCAGGCCUAACACAUGCAAGUCGAACGGUAACAGGAAGCAGCUUGCUGCUUUGCUGACGAGUGGCGGACGGGUGAGUAAUGUCUGGGAAACUGCCUGAUGGAGGGGGAUAACUACUGGAAACGGUGGCUAAUACCGCAUAAUGUCGCAAGACCAAAGAGGGGGACCUUCGGGCCUCUUGCCAUCAGAUGUGCCCAGAUGGGAUUAGCUUGUUGGUGAGGUAACGGCUCACCAAGGCGACGAUCCCUAGCUGGUCUGAGAGGAUGACCAGCCACACUGGAACUGAGACACGGUCCAGACUCCUACGGGAGGCAGCAGUGGGGAAUAUUGCACAAUGGGCGCAAGCCUGAUGCAGCCAUGCCGCGUGUAUGAAGAAGGCCUUCGGGUUGUAAAGUACUUUCAGCGGGGAGGAAGGUGUUGUGGUUAAUAACCGCAGCAAUUGACGUUACCCGCAGAAGAAGCACCGGCUAACUCCGUGCCAGCAGCCGCGGUAAUACGGAGGGUGCAAGCGUUAAUCGGAAUUACUGGGCGUAAAGCGCACGCAGGCGGUCUGUCAAGUCGGAUGUGAAAUCCCCGGGCUCAACCUGGGAACUGCAUUCGAAACUGGCAGGCUUGAGUCUUGUAGAGGGGGGUAGAAUUCCAGGUGUAGCGGUGAAAUGCGUAGAGAUCUGGAGGAAUACCGGUGGCGAAGGCGGCCCCCUGGACAAAGACUGACGCUCAGGUGCGAAAGCGUGGGGAGCAAACAGGAUUAGAUACCCUGGUAGUCCACGCCGUAAACGAUGUCUACUUGGAGGUUGUGCCCUUGAGGCGUGGCUUCCGGAGCUAACGCGUUAAGUAGACCGCCUGGGGAGUACGGCCGCAAGGUUAAAACUCAAAUGAAUUGACGGGGGCCCGCACAAGCGGUGGAGCAUGUGGUUUAAUUCGAUGCAACGCGAAGAACCUUACCUGGUCUUGACAUCCACAGAACUUUCCAGAGAUGGAUUGGUGCCUUCGGGAACUGUGAGACAGGUGCUGCAUGGCUGUCGUCAGCUCGUGUUGUGAAAUGUUGGGUUAAGUCCCGCAACGAGCGCAACCCUUAUCCUUUGUUGCCAGCGGUCCGGCCGGGAACUCAAAGGAGACUGCCAGUGAUAAACUGGAGGAAGGUGGGGAUGACGUCAAGUCAUCAUGGCCCUUACGACCAGGGCUACACACGUGCUACAAUGGCGCAUACAAAGAGAAGCGACCUCGCGAGAGCAAGCGGACCUCAUAAAGUGCGUCGUAGUCCGGAUUGGAGUCUGCAACUCGACUCCAUGAAGUCGGAAUCGCUAGUAAUCGUGGAUCAGAAUGCCACGGUGAAUACGUUCCCGGGCCUUGUACACACCGCCCGUCACACCAUGGGAGUGGGUUGCAAAAGAAGUAGGUAGCUUAACCUUCGGGAGGGCGCUUACCACUUUGUGAUUCAUGACUGGGGUGAAGUCGUAACAAGGUAACCGUAGGGGAACCUGCGGUUGGAUCACCUCCUUACCUUAAAGAA
rnacentral:rRNA from 2 species